rnacentral:rRNA from 1 species
GUGCCAGCAGCCGCGGUAAUACCGGCAGUCCAAGUGAUGGCCGAUAUUAUUGGGCCUAAAGCGUCCGUAGCUUGCUGUGUAAGUCCAUUGGGAAAUCGACGCGCUCAACGCGUCGACGUCCGGUGGAAACUGCAGAGCUUGGGGCCGAGAGACUCGACGGGUACGUCCGGGGUAGGAGUGAAAUCCUGUAAUCCUGGACGGACCACCAAUGGGGAAACCACGUCGAGAGACCGGACCCGACAGUGAGGGACGAAAGCUGGGAUCUCGAACCGGAUUAGAAACCCCUGUAGUCC